rnacentral:rRNA from 1 species
GACGAACGCUGGCGGCGUGCUUAACACAUGCAAGUCGAACGAUGAAAGCGGAGCUUGCUCCGCUGGAUCAGUGGCGAACGGGUGAGUAACACGUGGGCAACCUGCCCCUCACUUCGGGAUAACUCCGGGAAACCGGGGCUAAUACCGGAUAUGACCUCCUUGGGCAUCCUUGGAGGUGGAAAGUUUUUCGGUGAGGGAUGGGCCCGCGGCCUAUCAGCUUGUUGGUGAGGUAGUGGCUCACCAAGGCGACGACGGGUAGCCGGCCUGAGAGGGCGACCGGCCACACUGGGACUGAGACACGGCCCAGACUCCUACGGGAGGCAGUAGUGGGGAAUAUUGCGCAAUGGGCGAAAGCCUGACGCAGCAACGCCGCGUGCGGGAUGACGGCCUUCGGGUUGUAAACCGCUUUCAGCAGGGAAGAAGCCGCAAGGUGACGGUACCUGCAGAAGAAGCACCGGCUAACUACGUGCCAGCAGCCGCAGUAA